UACGUAGGGUGCGAGCGUUGUCCGGAAUUACUGGGCGUAAAGAGCUCGUAGGCGGUUUGUCGCGUCUGCCGUGAAAGUCCGGGGCUCAACUCCGGAUCUGCGGUGGGUACGGGCAGACUAGAGUGAUGUAGGGGAGACUGGAAUUCCUGGUGUAGCGGUGAAAUGCGCAGAUAUCAGGAGGAACACCGGUGGCGAAGGCGGGAUCUCUGGGCCGUAACCUGACGCUCGAGGCGACGAAAGCGUGGGGAGCGAACAGG
rnacentral:rRNA from 1 species